AAACCAGGUACAUUUCCACUACCUUUUGGAAGAGCACUGGGAAUAUCCCUCGUCUGAGCACUGGACUGCUAUGAUUCAGCCCAAGGAACCUGCUUCACAUUGAUGCUCAACACUGCUGCACCAGCUCUGUGCAAAGGAGGUGACACCCGUGGGUGGUGGAAGGCAUCAAGAAUCUCCAAACCCUCUUUCACAAGUUUGUGAAAACAUGAUUGAAUAUUGCUUCUGCAGCCAACAGGAGCAGGAAACCACUUCUGAAUUAGAGCCAGAAGUCACUUAUAAAAUACUUCUUUGGCCACCUGGUGCAGGGCUUGCAGCACCUCAGGUACGUUAAUUCACCUGGUUCCUUACAAACCCCAAGGGAGAUGGAUAAUCAUCCUCUCUUUCUUGGAGAAAGCAGAGUGAAACAUGAGAGGUAAAAUGCUUUGAUAAUGACAGUCAGACCCUGGCAGCAUUUUGCAGUUAGAAAGUGCUGGCUCCUGGAGGGCUGCCAGGCAUUUCUCAGAGACAGGCAGGAGCCUGUGUGUGCUGUGCAGGGCAUGUGCAGUGAGCUGGCAGCAUCCUGGAGCCUUUGGUGUGCCAGCAGGCAGGCUGCACAUUAGCUGGGUCUGGAAGCCCAUGGUGGUGCAGGCCAAGGAACUUUGAGCCAGUUAGCAGGGCUUUGCCAGGUUGAAUCCAUAAUAGAGGUAACACAUGAAUUCUGCUUGAGGGCUAUCUCUGCUUGCUGCUCCACUGUGCUGUGAGGAGCUUGGGUUGGUGCUUACAGGGGUGAUUAUUUGUCUUGUCCUUUGCUUUUUGGGUACAGAGCCUUUAGUUCCUCUUCCUUUGCAGUACAGGGGGUAGCUGUCUCCCUUUCUGAAGCAAAGCCUGGUGAUAACCAUGUGUUACCACCACAGAUAGUCAGCGUUGAGCCACAGUCACAGUGGUGGCAAAACUGCAUUUCAUUCCUAUAAGGGGAAGGGCAAAAGGCUCACUGAGGAUUUAAUGUAUCCUGCUGGAACAGAAACCAGAAUGGCUUCUCUGCAGGGCAUCCUGUCUCACUAGCUUUACGGCUGCCCAAACAGUCUGCCCCUCAUAAACAGAUAGGAUUUAAGAGUCAUGAAUGUAUGGUAGCCCUCAGUCUGUGUAUAGCUGAGCAGCUGGCUUGUCCAGGUUAGGCAUUAGGAAAACCUUUCUGGGUGAUAAAGGGGGAAUGAUAAAAUCAUUUAUGUUAGAAAAAAAUCUUUGAGAUUGAGUCCAACCUGUGACCAAACACCACCUUGUCAAGUAGACUAUGGUAUCGAGUGCCACAUCCAGUUGUUUCUUGAAUGUCUCCAGGGACAGUUACUCCACCACUUCCCUGGAUAAUUCAUUCAAGUGUUUAGCAACCCUUUCUGUGAAGAAGUCCUUCCUAAUGUCCAACCUGAACCUCCCCUGGCAUAGCUUGAGGUAAUUUCCUCGUGUCUUGUCACUUGUUACCUGGGAGAAGAGACCAGCCCCCACUUUGCUACAACCUCCUUUCAGGAAGUUGUAGAGAGCAUUGAAGUCACUCCUGAGCCUCCUUCUCAAGAGAAAGAGAAGGUGGACAAGCCUGUGCAGACAUCAGGAGAGGCUUUGAUGGUGGAGAUUUUUAGGAACAAGUUGGACAAACCUUGUGUAAUAGAGUAGUGAUUCCUGCCUGAGAGCAGGGAUUUUAAUUGAAUGGUUAAUCUCAGUCUCUUCCACUCCCUUGUUGUGUUUUGGUGGUUUUUUUGGUUGGUUGAGUUGUUUUGGUUUUGGGUGUUUUUUGUUUUUUUUUUUGUAUUGCUACUUUACUCUGUAAAUUCUUUCUAGAAGUGUAAGUACAGAAAAGUGUUCAGAACAUUUUUGCCCUUGGGUUCAGGCACUUGCAUAAUAGAUGUGGCAUUUUAAAUCAUUAACAACAAAUGCCAAUUCCUGCCUGCUGUGCAGUAGAUAACUUUGGAUAGAAAAAAGUGGCAGGCUAAAGAAAUUUAGAUUGUUCUUGAACUCUCCCUGCACCUUCUGGGAAAAUCAACAACAACAACAAAAAAGUAAGCAAAAUCUAGAUUGUAUGCAAUCUGUGGGCACAUUGACAACCUGAAUUGGCGUCACAUAUCCAGUGAGGACAACAAACCUGUGUGACUUCUCUUCAGUUAUUAAUUAUACUUGUCAAAGGACAACAAACCUGUGUGACUUCUCUUCAGUUAUUAAUUAUACUUGUCAAAGGUCACAGUGCAAUAUGGUUUACUUUUACCCUCAAUUUCCACUGAAAAAUGCUUUUAGGAUGACUUAUUUUGUCCUUUUUUUGAUUGCUGACAUGUUCCACAUUUCAGUAGCUCUUGUUUGAAUACACAUAGCCUUAAUCACUGGCCUUUUUUAAUUUAUCUCCUUUAAACUGUGAAAGUUAAAGGUUUGUAAGCCCUAAAAAUCCAUAUAUCCAGCAUCUCCAAGGCCUAGAGGUGAAACUGAAAAAUCAUUUCUCCUGAGUAAGGUGAGUUGGAUUUGACUUCAGAUCUCAGUGUGUACAGAUGAUCUUUGUCUUUUCCUUCCUUCAAGAUGUUUUUGUGGAACUGCUGGGGUUUGUCUUGCAUCCUUCAGAGCUCUGCUUUUUUUUUUUUUUUUUUUUUGUCUGAGCUGACAAGCCUGAUAAAUUUACCACACAGGAGCAUCCCUGUUUGUGUUACUAUGUUAUUUAUAUAUAAAAAUGCAGCACUGGAAACAGCACUUCUGCUGUGAGACCUGUUCCAGCUGAAGUCUGCAUCCAAGAAGUCCUGCUGUGGUCUGCUGCCAUGUACCUACUCCCUAAGAUGGCUGUAAGAUUGAGAACUCUGCCUAUGAAGGGCCUCAAUGCAACUAAACUGAACUUUCUACUUUUGAUCAUCUAACAAAACUCAUAAGCUUCUUCCAGAUAAAAGAAUUCAUCAUGACCUCUAGUCUGUCUUAGGACUGUACAUGAACUUUAGGCUCCCAUAGUCACAACAAACUGUAGGUUUCCAGGGAAGGGAAUCAUUAAUUUGGAAGACUGACAUCCGUUGCAUCCCGAAGGACAGAUCCAGCUGAGGAUCCUUCACUCAUGCCUGAAGGAGCUUUGCAUUUGGCAGCACAGUGUCCUAAAUCUGUGCUAGCUCUACAGUUGUCAGCAAACUGUUCUCCUACUCCUAUCCUUUUCCAGAUGUUUAAGAAGUAAAGCUGUAUUUUACUCUUACUGUCAGCUGUUUGAGAAUGCUGCUGCUUUUUAAAUAAAUACAAAAGUUAGGAUCUUAAAUCAUAGAUAAUGUAUAAAUACUCUUUAAACCCACAUUUGAAUAGAGUUUCUGUUGCUCACCUGUCAGGGCUCUGUUGCUGUUACUGGAGCUCAGAACACCCCUGGCUGAAUGUUUCAGGGAACUUUGCUCCCCUUGCUGUUUAGGUGAUUUGGUAAUACUGGAAAAUGCAACUCUUUUGGCUGGAAUCUUAAGAAAGCUUCUUUCUCUCUCACUCACUCCCAUACCCCUUCUGAGUUGUGUUUUGCAUUAUGUUGACCUCUGGAAAAAUAUUACUCAUGCAGAGAUUCUGUGACUGGCCAAAUUUUAUUUAUUCUUUCCUCUCAUGCCACCAAGUGAUAUAUUAAUGUUUGAUCCUCAGGUUUUCUUACAAUGUAUGCUUACUCUGUCUAAUAGAGCAUCAGUCCUGAAAUUAUUGUCAAUUUUAUUUUAGACCAUAUGUUUUAUCUGGUUGGCAGAGUAAGGAAACAGAAGGAGUGUGACAGGGAAGGCAGGUUUUGUUUACUGUACUUUCUCUAAUAGACCAAUGUAACUAGAACGCACUUAGAUUAGAUGAGAGGGAUGGGAUAGUUUUGCUUUCUUCUCUGUGCAAUUAUAGCUUGGACAGUGACCUGAAAAACUUUUAUCAAGCAGAAGGAAUGCUGUAAAACAGCUGUUGCAAAUCACCUAGCCAUGAGCACCAUUAUCUGUAUUGGGAUAGUAUUCAUUCAUUUGCUUUCCUCACCACCUGUCUGCUCUCCCUUUGCUGCUCUGUCCUUGUGAGUUUACUUUGUCUUUACUCAGCAGUGUUCAUGAGGUGGUUCCUUGCCCUGGCUCUCUUUCCUAAUAACACUCAUUAUUUACUUUCUUAACCUAUUAGAAUUGUAUAGAAAUAAUAUUGUCCUGUCAUUUUUACCAUUGAAAAUUAAUUAAUAUAUGGCAUCAGUUUUCCAAAGAACUUCAUAAAAUGGGAUACUAUUUGAAAACAGGACUGUAACUCAGAUAUUCAAAUUCUCAUUUUUCAUAAUCUCACUUUUAUACUUUUUAGACUUUGUAAUGACAGCUUCAUUCUUUGAUCUGAAUAAGCAGCUCAGACCUUGUGCAAAUGAAUAGUGUUUCCAAGAAGUGUUUGUAUUUACAAUGUAUUUCAUGUAUAAGAGCUCCAACCAACUGAAAUGCUGAAAAGUUUCUUUAAAUGAGAUUUUUUUUUAUGGUGUCUAGUUAUACAUGAUUUAAGGUUAUAGACUUUCAUUUCAGUCAGUUCCUGGUCUUUAUAUUGUAUGUGUCCUGUAUAACUCCAUCCUCCAAUUCAUGUGUGCAGCCACAAAAAAAACCCAGACAAAGCAAAACAAUUCUGAGACAAGAGUAACACAGAAGAAAAGAUGAUUAAAGGUAUGUCUAUCAAAGGCAACAAUUACCAGAUUCCUUCUAUGCAGGUGUUUGUAUUAGAUAGUUAAGUAUCGUGAAAAGUCUGUGACAAUAGAGAUAGUUGUAUUGGAAGAGUGGUAGUGCACAUUGUAUCUAUCUCUUUUCUUGCUGUAGCUGCACGAUGGGAAAUUCUCCUGAAUUUCCUCUCUGCAGUGUCUAAUGCAGAAAAGCCAAUUCUCUCAUUUGCUCUUUGUUUUGGUAAUGGUUAUCUCUUCAUUUAUCUGUUAGUGAAAGUAGACAGGGAGUGUUUUAUGUGCAGGCACCUAUAGCUCACAGGACUGGCAUAGUCAUUUAGAGGAGAGUGGUGGGGUGAAAUGGAUGAGACUUUUGUUUAGACAGGGAUUCUGUUCCUAGCUCUGCCUAACGUGACCCUGCUCAACUUUCCUGAGCCUUCUGUAUUUUAUCUCUGACAUGGGUGGACUGAUACUUGCUUUCCUCAUAAAGCUGGAAGAUGGAACAGUGCUUGAUAAUUAUCUAUCUGAAGUGUCAGCAUCAUUAGGCAUGAUCAGGGGAAGAAGUAAAAACAGGACUCUUGGGUCUCCUCCAAGCUUUCUCUGGUUGGCAAGGCACUCCAGCUAUCCCAGCUGUUCUUCCUGUAAGCACCAGUUUUACUCAGCUGUUCUUAUAAAUGAUAGAGGAGGGACAGUGGGUUCAAGAAAAAUGCAUGGGAUGGGUAGGUAAAAUCUCUAGAAAUGCUAAAAAAAUGUAUGAAAAGUGACACCCUUCUUUCUUCUGCAAGUGGAUCUCACAGCAGUGCCACACCACCUCUUAAAUCCUGAUGGACACUCUUCUUGCCAAAAUCUGAAUUAUUUCUACAAACCCCAGAAAUAUUACAGGCUUUUUAAAGAAUCAUGGGAUCAUUUCGCUUGAAAAAGGUCUCUCAGGGCAGAAUGGAACUCCAGAAGAAGCUGCAAAGCAGAAAGUCUCCUUGUUUUCUUCCAGCUCCCUUUCAUAUUUCUUAGCUGGUGUUUGAAUAGCUGCAUAGACCUGCCCUGAGAGGUCCCAAGGAAAUGUAUAAGAAAUGAUUGGCCUUGGUUUUUCCAAUGCCUUUGAGGACAACCGCCUGUCACUCUGACACCAGCAUGCUACCAACAUCAUGGAAACUUCCCUUGUGGAGACUUUGCUGUCAGGCUUUCAUGCAGAGAAAGGAAACAGUGAACUUUCAAAACUCUUCCAUAGAUUUGCAAGGAAGCAGAAUUGAGUCAAAUUUGGUUAUGUGUGGGUUCAGAUAAAGGGAAGUUUCUCCACACUGCUUAGGUUUACAGGAGAAAUGCACCAGAAGAUCUCCCCCCUUUUUAACUCUUGUUAACAGCGGUACUGGAGAAACAUUCUUUCACUCAAAAUGACACUGCACUAAGGCAAGUUUGCAAAUAUCUGUCCUAUUCACAUAGUAAACUGAAGAACAUAUAUUUAUUUACUGCUACAAAAAGUGAUGAAGAAUUUUUGAUGUCAGGGAGCAAGAAGAGAGUUAGCAUAGCAUGUCUCUGCAAGAUGGAAACGUCCAUUGCAUAUUAUCCUAUGCAUAUGGAUAAGUACAUAUUUAAAGAUUCAGUUCUCUGGUUUUAGACCUAAAUCCUUAUGGAAAAUGGUAUGUGUCUUAGGAAUCUUGGAUGCAAAAUUAUCAUGCUUCUGCUCAGUGCUGUUUAACUGCUGAAUUAAUCAAGUGCAAUUGCUUAAGGCCCUGGAGGGAAGGAUGUAAUAAAUCCUGGGAAUAUUUGUUCUGGUUUAUGACUGGGAGAAACUGUGUAACAUUAAAUCAGAUGUUAUAAACA